GACGAACGCUGGCGGCGUGCCUAAUACAUGCAAGUCGAACGCAGUGGGGACGGGUGAGUAACACGUGGGUAACCUCCCAUCAGAGGGGAUAACACUUGGAAACUGGUGCUAAACCGAUACUGAUGGAUGGACCCGAGGUGCAUUCGCUAGUUGGUGAGGUAACGGCCCACCAAGGCUAAGAUGCAUAGCCGACCGGAGAGGGUGAUCAGCCACACUGGAACUGAUACACGGCCCAGACUCCUACGGGAGGCAGCAGUAGGGAAUCUUCGGCAAUGGGCGAAAGUCUGACCUAGCAACGCCGCGUGGGUGAAGAAGGUUUUCGGGUCGUAAAGCUCUGUUGUUAGGGAGGCGGUAUCUAACCAGAAAGCCACGGCUAACUACGUGCCAGCAGCCGCGGUAAUUC
rnacentral:rRNA from 1 species